rnacentral:rRNA from 1 species
AUGGCGGAAAACAGGAGUUCUCAGCGGAGGCAGGGGAAGGAACUUGCUGAAGAAUUGCUUGCCCGGCUCACACUACAGGAGGAAGAAGAGGACGAAUUCAUAUGGGAGGAGGAGCUGAUGGAUAUGGUAGAACCAGCGAAGUGGUUAGCAAUUGCCAGAGUCCAUACACCAAAGACUUUCAGCCCUAAUGCGCUGUAUAAUGACAUGUGUGCGGCAUGGAACCCUGCCAAACAGGUGGUAUGGAGGAAGAUCAAAACUAAUUUGUUCACAACGCAGUUUGGGUGCCUGGGUGAUUGGACUAAGGCGAUGGUUGAAGGGCCGUGGUUAUUCAGGGAGCAGGCUGUGAUCAUGGAGGCAUAUGACGGGUUUAAAAACCCUGAUACUUUUGAGCUAGACAAGCUCUCUGUGUGGGCACAAAUCCAUCGGUUGCCGGAUAAGUUCUUGAUUGAGCAUGCUGUAAAGGGUUUGGCAUCUAGAAUUGGAGAAGUAGAAGAAGUACAGCUGAAGCUACUGGCGGGUUUCUUUGGUGAAUUUGUGAGGGUUAAAGUCAAAAUAGAUAUUAAUUCUAAGAUAAAACAGUUUGUUACUGCAAAGAAGGGAGAAUAA